UACAGAGGGGGCAAGCGUUAUUCGGAAUUAUUGGGCGUAAAGGGCGCGUAGGCGGCCCGGUAAGUCAAAGGUGAAAUCCCUCGGCUCAACUGAGGAACUGCCUUUGAAACUGUCGGGCUUGAGGCCGGGAGGGGGUAGCGGAAUUCCCAGUGUAGCGGUGAAAUGCGUAGAUAUUGGGAGGAACACCGGUGGCGAAGGCGGCUACCUGGACCGGUUCUGACGCUGAUGCGCGAAAGCGUGGGUAGCAAACAGG
rnacentral:rRNA from 1 species